CACACCCCAAACGCACACGCAAUUGCCGGUUUUUGAAAACGUUGCCUCUGAAUGAGAGAGAGAGAGAGAGAGAGAGAGAGAGAGACUGAGAAAGUCGAACUCGAGCUUAGGUAACCAACAAACCCAAUUACUAGGCUUUAUUGAUACUAAAAGGAAAAGUUCCCCUCGUAAAAUUUCUCUGAGCUUAUUAGUUAUUUAAAUCAGCCCCAGGGUUGGACGCGUGACGCCGCAGGCACCUUCUGUCGGCUCCUGGAGAAGUACUGAACUCCUAAUAUCACCAAUUCUUCUAAGUUCCUGGACAUUGAUCCGGAGGAGGAUUCGCAGUUCAACAUCAAGGUCCCUGUGCGUUUUAUUGCGACCUGCCGGUGGGAACUUUGUCU
rnacentral:sRNA from 1 species